rnacentral:rRNA from 2 species
UUAAGCGACUAAGCGUACACGGUGGAUGCCCUGGCAGUCAGAGGCGAUGAAGGACGUGCUAAUCUGCGAUAAGCGUCGGUGAGGUGAUAUGAACCGUUAUAACCGGCGAUUUCCGAAUGGGGAAACCCAGUGUGUUUCGACACACUAUCAUUAACUGAAUCCAUAGGUUAAUGAGGCGAACCGGGGGAACUGAAACAUCUAAGUACCCCGAGGAAAAGAAAUCAACCGAGAUUCCCCCAGUAGCGGCGAGCGAACGGGGAGGAGCCCAGAGCCUGAAUCAGUGUGUGUGUUAGUGGAAGCGUCUGGAAAGGCGCGCGAUACAGGGUGACAGCCCCGUACACAAAAAUGCACAUGCUGUGAGCUCGAUGAGUAGGGCGGGACACGUGGUAUCCUGUCUGAAUAUGGGGGGACCAUCCUCCAAGGCUAAAUACUCCUGACUGACCGAUAGUGAACCAGUACCGUGAGGGAAAGGCGAAAAGAACCCCGGCGAGGGGAGUGAAAAAGAACCUGAAACCGUGUACGUACAAGCAGUGGGAGCCUCUUAAUGGGGUGACUGCGUACCUUUUGUAUAAUGGGUCAGCGACUUAUAUUCUGUAGCAAGGUUAACCGAAUAGGGGAGCCGAAGGGAAACCGAGUCUUAACUGGGCGUUAAGUUGCAGGGUAUAGACCCGAAACCCGGUGAUCUAGCCAUGGGCAGGUUGAAGGUUGGGUAACACUAACUGGAGGACCGAACCGACUAAUGUUGAAAAAUUAGCGGAUGACUUGUGGCUGGGGGUGAAAGGCCAAUCAAACCGGGAGAUAGCUGGUUCUCCCCGAAAGCUAUUUAGGUAGCGCCUCGUAAAUUCAUCUCCGGGGGUAGAGCACUGUUUCGGCAAGGGGGUCAUCCCGACUUACCAACCCGAUGCAAACUGCGAAUACCGGAGAAUGUUAUCACGGGAGACACACGGCGGGUGCUAACGUCCGUCGUGAAGAGGGAAACAACCCAGACCGCCAGCUAAGGUCCCAAAGUCAUGGUUAAGUGGGAAACGAUGUGGGAAGGCCCAGACAGCCAGGAUGUUGGCUUAGAAGCAGCCAUCAUUUAAAGAAAGCGUAAUAGCUCACUGGUCGAGUCGGCCUGCGCGGAAGAUGUAACGGGGCUAAACCAUGCACCGAAGCUGCGGCAGCGACACUAUGUGUUGUUGGGUAGGGGAGCGUUCUGUAAGCCUGUGAAGGUGGCCUGUGAGGGUUGCUGGAGGUAUCAGAAGUGCGAAUGCUGACAUAAGUAACGAUAAAGCGGGUGAAAAGCCCGCUCGCCGGAAGACCAAGGGUUCCUGUCCAACGUUAAUCGGGGCAGGGUGAGUCGACCCCUAAGGCGAGGCCGAAAGGCGUAGUCGAUGGGAAACAGGUUAAUAUUCCUGUACUUGGUGUUACUGCGAAGGGGGGACGGAGAAGGCUAUGUUGGCCGGGCGACGGUUGUCCCGGUUUAAGCGUGUAGGCUGGUUUUCCAGGCAAAUCCGGAAAACCAAGGCUGAGGCGUGAUGACGAGGCACUACGGUGCUGAAGCGACAAAUGCCCUGCUUCCAGGAAAAGCCUCUAAGCAUCAGGUAACAUCAAAUCGUACCCCAAACCGACACAGGUGGUCAGGUAGAGAAUACCAAGGCGCUUGAGAGAACUCGGGUGAAGGAACUAGGCAAAAUGGUGCCGUAACUUCGGGAGAAGGCACGCUGAUAUGUAGGUGAAGCGACUUGCUCGUGGAGCUGAAAUCAGUCGAAGAUACCAGCUGGCUGCAACUGUUUAUUAAAAACACAGCACUGUGCAAACACGAAAGUGGACGUAUACGGUGUGACGCCUGCCCGGUGCCGGAAGGUUAAUUGAUGGGGUUAGCGGCAACGCGAAGCUCUUGAUCGAAGCCCCGGUAAACGGCGGCCGUAACUAUAACGGUCCUAAGGUAGCGAAAUUCCUUGUCGGGUAAGUUCCGACCUGCACGAAUGGCGUAAUGAUGGCCAGGCUGUCUCCACCCGAGACUCAGUGAAAUUGAACUCGCUGUGAAGAUGCAGUGUACCCGCGGCAAGACGGAAAGACCCCGUGAACCUUUACUAUAGCUUGACACUGAACAUUGAGCCUUGAUGUGUAGGAUAGGUGGGAGGCUUUGAAGUGUGGACGCCAGUCUGCAUGGAGCCGACCUUGAAAUACCACCCUUUAAUGUUUGAUGUUCUAACGUUGGCCCGUAAUCCGGGUUGCGGACAGUGUCUGGUGGGUAGUUUGACUGGGGCGGUCUCCUCCUAAAGAGUAACGGAGGAGCACGAAGGUUGGCUAAUCCUGGUCGGACAUCAGGAGGUUAGUGCAAUGGCAUAAGCCAGCUUGACUGCGAGCGUGACGGCGCGAGCAGGUGCGAAAGCAGGUCAUAGUGAUCCGGUGGUUCUGAAUGGAAGGGCCAUCGCUCAACGGAUAAAAGGUACUCCGGGGAUAACAGGCUGAUACCGCCCAAGAGUUCAUAUCGACGGCGGUGUUUGGCACCUCGAUGUCGGCUCAUCACAUCCUGGGGCUGAAGUAGGUCCCAAGGGUAUGGCUGUUCGCCAUUUAAAGUGGUACGCGAGCUGGGUUUAGAACGUCGUGAGACAGUUCGGUCCCUAUCUGCCGUGGGCGCUGGAGAACUGAGGGGGGCUGCUCCUAGUACGAGAGGACCGGAGUGGACGCAUCACUGGUGUUCGGGUUGUCAUGCCAAUGGCACUGCCCGGUAGCUAAAUGCGGAAGAGAUAAGUGCUGAAAGCAUCUAAGCACGAAACUUGCCCCGAGAUGAGUUCUCCCUGACUCCUUGAGAGUCCUGAAGGAACGUUGAAGACGACGACGUUGAUAGGCCGGGUGUGUAAGCGCAGCGAUGCGUUGAGCUAACCGGUACUAAUGAACCGUGAGGCUUAACCUU